rnacentral:piRNA from 1 species
UGAGCGAACACUACACUUGCAUAGGUCAU